rnacentral:misc_RNA from 1 species
GAGAAGAACGUAGCGAAAUGCGAUAAGUAGUGUGAAUUGCAGAAUUCAGUGAAUCAUCGAAUCUUUGAACGCACAUUGCGCCCCAUGGUAUUCCGUGGGGCAUGCCUGUUCGAGCGUCAUUUACCCCCUCAAGCUCCGCUUGGUGUUGGGCGUCUGUCCCGCUUCGCGCGCGGACUCGCCCCAAAGGUAUUGGCAGCGGUCGUGCCAGCUUCUCGCGCAGCACAUUGCGCUUCUCGAGGCACCGGUGGGCCCGCGUCCAUCAAGCUCACCCCCCCAGUUUGACCUCGGAUCAGGUAGGGAUACCCGCUGAACUUAAGCAUAUCAAUAAGCGGAGGA